rnacentral:rRNA from 1 species
CCUACGGGCGGCUGCAGUGAGGAAUAUUGGUCAAUGGGAGAGAUCCUGAACCAGCCAAGUCGCGUGAAGGAUGACUGCCCUCUGGGUUGUAAACUUCUUUUAUAUGGGAGUAAAAUGUUCCACGUGUGGGAUUUUGUAUGUACCCUCUGAAUAAGGAUCGGCUAACUCCGUGCCAGCAGCCGCGGUAAUACGGAGGAUCCGAGCGUUAUCCGGAUUUAGUGGGUUUAAAGGGAGCGUAGGUGGGUUGUUCAGUCAGUUGUGAAAGUUUGCGGCUAAACCGUAAAAUUGCAGUUGAAACUGGUAGUCUUGAGUACAGUAGAGGUGGGCGGAAUUCGUGGUGUAGCGGUGAAAUGCAUAGAUAUCACGAAGAACUCCGAUUGCGAAGGCAGUUCACUGGACCGCAACUGACACUGAGGCUCGAAAGUGUGGGUAUCAAACAGGAUUAGAUACCCUAGUAGUC